CCUACGGGAGGCUGCAGUGGGGAAUCUUGCGCAAUGCGCGAAAGCGUGACGCAGCAACGCCGCGUGAGGGAAGACGGCCUUCGGGUUGUAAACCUCUUUCAGGAGGGACGAAGCGCCGGCCGUUAAUAGCGGACCGGCGUGACGGUACCUCCACAAGAAGCCCCGGCUAACUACGUGCCAGCAGCCGCGGUAAUACGUAGGGGGCUAGCGUUGUCCGGAAUCAUUGGGCGUAAAGAGCGCGUAGGCGGUUCGGUAAGUCCGCUCUGAAAGUCCGGGGCUCAACCCCGGAAGGCGGGUGGAUACUGUCGGACUAGAGUCCGGAAGAGGCGAGUGGAAUUCCUGGUGUAGCGGUGAAAUGCGCAGAUAUCAGGAGGAACACCUAUGGCGAAGGCAGCUCGCUGGGACGGUACUGACGCUGAGGCGCGAAAGCGUGGGGAGCA
rnacentral:rRNA from 1 species